rnacentral:rRNA from 1 species
UACAUGUGGGGCAAGCGUUGUUCGGAAUUACUGGGCAUAAAGGGUGCGUAGGUGGUUUGUUAAGUCAGGGGUGAAAUCCCGCGGCCCAACCGUGGAACUGCCUUUGAUACUGGCGAACUUGAGUGCGUGAGGGGUAGGGGGAACGAGCAGUGUAGCGGUGAAAUGCGUAGAUAUCGAGAGGAACACCUGCGGCGAAGGCGGGUUGCUGGGCUGACACUGACGCUGAGGCGCGAAAGCUAGGGGAGCGAACGGG